GCGAUCAUGGCGAAGUGGUUAACGCACCGGAUUGUGGUUCCGGCACGCGUGGGUUCGAUCCCCACUGGUCGCCCCA
rnacentral:tRNA from 5 species